rnacentral:rRNA from 1 species
CAGCAGCCACGGGAAUACGAGGGGGGCAAGCGUUGUUCGGAAUUAUUGGGCGUAAAGGGUGCGUAGGCGGUUUGAUAAGUCUGAUGUGAAAUCUCUGGGCUCAACCCAGAGUCUGCAUCGGAAACUGUCGGGCUUGAGUAUGGGAGAGGUGAGUGGAAUUUCCGGUGUAGCGGUGAAAUGCGUAGAUAUCGGAAGGAACACCUGUGGCGAAAGCGGCUCACUGGACCAUUACUGACGCUGAUGCACGAAAGCUAGGGGAGCAAACAGGAUUAGAUACCCCAGUAGUCCCUGUCUCUUAACA